AUUGAACGCUGGCGGCAGGCCUAACACAUGCAAGUCGAACGAGUGGCGGACGGGCGAGCAAUGUCUGGGAAACUGCCUGACGGAGGGGGCUAACUACUGGAAACGGUAGCUAAUACCGCAUACCAUCGGAUGUGCCCAGAUGGGAUUAGCUAGUCGGUGGGGAAAAGGCUCACCAAGGGGAAGAUCCCUAGCUGGUCUGAGAGGAUGACCGGCCACACUGGAACUGAGACACGGUCCAGACUCCUACGGGAGGCAGCAGUGGGGAAUAUUGCACAAUGGGCGCAAGCCUGAUGCAGCCAUGCCGCGUGUGUGAAGAAGGCCUUCGGGUUGUAAAGUACUUUCGUCGGGGAGGCGUUACCCACAGAGGAAGCACCGGCUAACUCCGUGCCAGCAGCCGCGGUAAUAC
rnacentral:rRNA from 1 species